rnacentral:rRNA from 1 species
CAUGGCUCAGAUUGAACGCUGGCGGCAUGCUUUACACAUGCAAGUCGGACGGCAGCGGGGGUGCUUGCACCUGCCGGCGAGUGGCGAACGGGUGAGUAACAUAUUGGAAUGUACCGAGUAGUGGGGGAUAACCAAUCGAAAGAUUGGCUAAUACCGCAUACGUCCUAAGGGGGAAAGCAGGGGAUCUUCGGACCUUGCGCUAUUUGAGCAGCCAAUAUCUGAUUAGCUAGUUGGUGGGGUAAAGGCCCACCAAGGCGACGAUCAGUAGCGGGUCUGAGAGGAUGAUCCGCCACACUGGGACUGAGACACGGCCCAGACUCCUACGG